CCUCUCUCCUUAGCCUAUAAAUAGGACGGGAGGGCAGCUAAUUGAGAAAGUUAUCUUUUCUUUCGGCCGUCUCCAUGGCUUCCAGUGAAGUGGAACGAACAGCGAAGAGAAGGCUACGGUCUCAGUAGCCAGUGACAGAUCCAAAGGAUGCCAAUUCGUUAAAAUAUGUACUUCACUAAAAGGAAGGUUCAAUGUGUUAAAAAUUUGGAAGAUACUGAGCUAGAAAACGUGGACUUUGAAUUGCAUAGGAAAUCAUGGAAAUGUAGAGAAAACUGAAGCCCAAACAAGGUAACCUCAUGAUACAAGUAUAGAUACUACUACAAAAGGUUCUUGCAUGGUUUCUUACGAGUCGAUAAUCAAUUGCUUCAUAUACACAUAUUAGCACCUGAAAAAUUAAAAAUUUCUGUUUUCCUUUUGGCAUUUGAUGAUUGCAUUAAACAAAAAAUUUUGGAUCCCGUUUGUUAGAAACCUUUCGAUUCGACUGCACAUUUAUUGUUUAUUCACUUAUUUCUCACGUCAUUUCUCUUUAGAGAUUUUAGUUAACUGCAACUCCCCCAUUCUUAUAUUAGCAGUUGAUUGAUUAUCAUUAUGUCGGUAAACUUCUUAUUUUUCUCUGCACAACUGAUUAGUGUACCUCUGAUUGAUGCAUGGUUUAUUAUCAUGCUCUCUAUGAAAAAUGUGUUUGGUCCUUUUUUUUUGUUCUUUUUUUGCAGUCUUCGUGGUUGUGUAUAUGCACUAAAUUUAGUAGUAGGAUUACAGGACACUGAGUGUAUUCAUUAAAUAGUUGGUGAGGAUCUUUAAGCACUUUAACGAAUUCUGAACAGAGUCUUAAUAGGAUUAGAGAGAAAAAAAGGGGCAACUUUGCAACAGAUGUAUCUUAUUAUGAAUAUAUGUUUAUACCUUCUGUCUCAUUUAUUGGGUUUAAAUUUUAGAUGGAUUGAGGACGAUCAAUAAUUUAACGUACUAAUAAAUUAGAAGGGUUGUGUUCAAAUAUCACCAUUCACUUUAAAAUUAAGUAUAGGGGUGAUAAGGCAUGUUUUGCCACGUGAACACGUUACAACUGAUGCCACACGUCACGUCAGAACUCGUACCCUCAAGACACUGUUCGACACGCCUGGUCUUGGCAAUCCCGGGACGGCAACGCCCCGCACACCAAGCCAAAAUCCGUACUAAUGUCGUGCUGUGUCCAUCACACCAAUCCACAUAUAAUCGACCCUCUCACGUUAGUAUAAAGACCUUUAUCCUGGUCUCCAAAAAGGGGAGAGAAAAAAAAGGGAGACAACUGACUUGCUCGUCGGAGGGGCCAAAGUCGGGGAUCACCCGACGAAGGUCAUUUUUGUAGGAAGGUAGCCCAACCUCGGGAGUCGUGGACCGGCGCCCUCAUGGCAAGCCAUCGACCAACCUACCCCCUGACUCGAGGAUUUAGUCGGCUUCGACAACCAGCUCAGUCGGCAGGAGGCUCUCGACAUCGACUCGUGGACCAAGCCGUGUUGACUCAUCAGCCACGAAUGCAUAAAUGAACAAGUUUUUAUCUAAUUUAAUAUUUUAGAUGAAUUAAAAAUAAUAAAUAAUUUGACAUAUCUGUUCAAAUCUCAACCUUAAUAUUUUAGAUGAUCAAGGCCCAUGUAAAUUAUGUGCUCUAAGGCUAGGUUUAGUUUACCCACCAGAAUGAUGCUCAGCUUUGGUGUAUAUUCAGGGUGAGGUAUUAAGGUUAUCACAAUAAGAUAUAUGCUCCGUCAUCGAAGACAUGAGACAAAGAUUAUGAAGGUAAAUAAAUUUACAAUAGGAAUAUUUACUGAAUGCCUUGUAAAUUCUAAAAAACGGUUGUAAAUGGUCUCUUCAAAAUAGCUCAAUUUCCUGAGAAAAAAUAUCAUAUUUUGGGUUCCUUUGGCAUGGUGCCACUGUUUUCGUAUAGAACUCCUAUAUUUUUAAAAUACCAAAAAUGCCCUUUUGAAAAGAAAAAAAACUAUUUUUUUUCACGUCCAAACCUAGUCAGUUGAAAUGAUCAAGAAUGAACCAAACCGAUUGCAGUAUAUUUAGUAUAUUUAAAUGGAGUUGCAAUGUCUUAGUUGAUUGGAUUGAUUAUCAUGUUUUGGUUGGUGAAAAGAAAAUUGAAGAAUACUACAAUCAAAAUUCAAUUACCUUAAAUCCUCGUCAAUCUUAAUUAUUAAUCUUAUCAUAUAUUUUUGAGAUUUAUACAAUAAUUUGUUUUUGAAUUUUUUAAUGCUUUACAAUGAAAAUUAAUAUUAUUAUAAUAUAUUUCAUAAUAAUUGAUAAAUCCUCAUUCUUUCCACGUAGUUCUAAAUUCAAGCAUAUAUUGUGAUUUUAUUUAUUAUAAAAAUAAUAACAUUAGAGUGUGAGAUACUACCUAUUUAUGACGUUGAACCUGUAUA